UUUAAAUAGCUGCAGUAAUUUAACUGUACAAAGGUAGCAUAAUAAUUAGUCUUUUAAUUGAGGUCUGGAAUGAAUGGUUUAACAAGAUACAAACUUUAUUAUUUUAAUAAUAUUUAAUUUAAUUUUUUAGUAAAAAAACUAAAAUUGUUAAAUGGGACGAUAAGACCCUAUAGAUCUUAAAUUUUUUUUUUAAAAUUAUUAAUUGGUAAAUUUAUAAUAUUUUAAUAAGAAAAAUUUUAAUUGGGGUGAUUUUAAAAAUUUUUAAACUUUUAAUUAUUUUAACAUUGAUAUUAAUGGACUACUGAUCUUAAAAUUUAGAUUAAAAAAAUAAGAUACCUUAGGGAUAACAGCGUAAUAAAUUUGAAUAGUUCAUAUUGAUAAAUUUGUUUACGACCUCGAUGUUGAAUUAAUUUAAAUUUUUAAAGUAGCCAUUAAAACAUUUUGGUCUGUUCGACCUUUGAUAAAUUACA
rnacentral:rRNA from 1 species